UACAGAGGUCUCAAGCGUUGUUCGGAUUCAUUGGGCGUAAAGGGUGCGUAGGCGGCGCGGUAAGUCGGGUGUGGAAAUCUCGGAGCUUAACUCCGAAACUGCAUUCGAUACUGCCGUGCUUGAGGACUGGAGAGGAGACUGGAAUUUACGGUGUAGCAGUGAAAUGCGUAGAUAUCGUAAGGAAGACCAGUGGCGAAGGCGAAUCUCUGGACAGUUACUGACACUGAGGCACGAAGGCCAGGGGGAGCAA
rnacentral:rRNA from 1 species